GAGGAGAAAGACGGGGAUUAGCAAAACGAAACAAAACAAGCCUCCUAACCCCGACUGCAGAGGGCCUGGUGGGCACCGACACCACGGUGCUUCAGGGAGAGCAGAUGGGGGACGGCGAGGAAAGGGGAGCUGGAAAGAGAUCAGGAGCUAGAGCAGCUGGGAAAGGGGGUCGAGAAGGCACGCAGGCUGGGGAUAAAUAAAGAGGGGGCGCUGCGGGAAGGCGCUGGGACAGAACGGAAGCUGCAGAGGGGCAAGCGGGCGCCCGCGCUGCGGCUGCCACCACCUCCCACAGCCUUCUCCAGCUCUCUUCAGACACGGUCGCCGCGCCUCCCGUCUGCCCAGCCGGGCCCGCCUCGCAACGGCCGUCACGGCCUUCCAUUGGCCAAGGUCGCCGCCACUCUUCAGUCGCUCUGAAGCUUGCGCCGCUCCCGUUGGCCGGACUCCGCUCUGCCCCUCCCUGCCCGCCCCACGGUCAGCGCCCCUAAAAAACUCCGCGUCGCCCUCGCUGCUGUUGAGAGCCGCCAACUGCACCCAGUGGCUGCCGCCGCUGUCCUUCCGGCGCUGCCAUGGAGACGUAUCCCCGCCCACGGCCCAAAGUCGACGCCCUCAUUGGCCGAAAGCGCCGUCGCUCCGGGAGAAACGCGGGUUUGGGUCGGGUUAUUUGGGUCCAAGUGGAAAGAGGGCGGGUACCGCCUGCUCCAGAGCCCGUAUGUGAUUGGUUGGCCUUGGAGCGACUCAUGCUUCCAUUGGCUAAGGUCUCCGCCUGUCACCAUAGAGUCGCGACCUCCCUGUUCUUUUUCUGUGGCGAAACCUUCGACCACCAGAGGGAGAAAGCAGGGGAGGACGGGAGGGGGGGUGAAUGCGCGCGCACCUCCUUCCCCCCGCCUGUCUGGGCCAGCGGUUGCCAAGGCGACAAAACUUUAUUGACAACCCUGCCCGGUACAAAGGGCUUUUCGCUCUCUUCCUCACUCCUAGACCACCUUCUCUUCCCCUAAAUAACCUGUUUAAUUUUGAGUACCCACAAUACACUCUGUGGGUGAAAGGGUCAGAAAGAAGGAGAUUGAUAGGUGGGGGCUUUGAAGAAAGCCCUGACUCAUGGGGAGCUCCCAUGGGGCACCCCCCCACGCCCACAGUUGAGAUCACCCCUCUGCUCCAGUCCUAGAGGCAAACAUAAUUAGUAAUUCAUCAUAAUUACGCCCAGAAUAAUAAGCCCCACACUUGGAGCAGGCGGUCUUUGUUUUGUUGCCGGCUGUAUAUCCUGUGCUCUUGGAACAAUGCGUGGCACGGAAUAGGUGCUUCAUUAAUUUGUGCUGAAGGAAUGAAUGUAUGAAGCUGG